GAAAGCCUUGGGCUCAAUGUCCAGUACUGGAAAAAAAGUUUCUCAUUUAAUUUUAAUUUCAAUGUGGUAUCCCUUUACUAACUAUGGGUUUUUAUAAUAGAUGCAUUGGUCCGGUGAGGUACCAAUGAAACCAGUGUCAUGUUUAUCUUCACACAGAUCUAACUCUGUUGAACCUCUUUUGGAUGCUCCUGCAUGCCGGGCAUGGUACAAGACACUAGGAUGACAGAUGGACCACAUCAGUGCUGGGAUGUGCUGAGACUCAGUUGGUGAGCACAGACUGAUGCCCACCUCUCUCUGGGCUGGGAGGCAACUUGCAAAGGAAUGCUAAAUGGUCCUCUUCACCCACUAGCAAAGAACAAUCAAGUGCUUGGAUCAAAAAACACUGGUAUGAUUACAAACCCCU
rnacentral:lncRNA from 1 species